rnacentral:sRNA from 1 species
AGCGCGACCGGGUCGACCGCGCGGGUGACGACGAGGUAGUCGCGCAUGACGAUGCCGUGCCGGUUCUC